rnacentral:rRNA from 1 species
AGCAGCCGCGGUAAUUCCAGCUCCAAUAGCGUAUAUUAAAGUUGCUGCAGUUAAAAAGCUCGUAGUUGAAUUUCGGGACCGAUAUAUCGGUCGUGCCUCGGUACGUACUGGUAUUUUCGGUUUCUCCCUUCUGACGAACCUUGAUGUCAUUAAUUUGGUGUCUUGGGGAAUCAGGACUGUUACUUUGAAAAAUUAGAGUGUUUAAAGCAGGCUCACGCUUGAAUACAUUAGCAUGGAAUAAUGAAAUAGGACGUUUGAUUCUAUUUUGUUGGUUUCUAGGAUCGACGUAAUGAUUAAUAGGGAUAGUUGGGGGCAUUAGUAUUCAAUUGUCAGAGGUGAAAUUCUUGGAUUUAUUGAAGACUAACUACUGCGAAAGCAUUUGCCAAGGAUGUUUUCAUUAAUCAAGAACGAAAGUUAGGGGAUCGAAGACGAUCAGAUACCGUCGUAGUC